UACGUAGGGACCAAGCGUUGUCCGGAAUCAUUGGGCGUAAAGAGCGUGUAGGCGGCUUGUUAAGUCUUACGUGAAAUCUCGGGGCUCAACCCCGAGCGGUCGUGAGAAACUGGCAGGCUAGAGUGCGGGAGAGGAGAGUGGAAUUCCUGGUGUAGCGGUGAAAUGCGCAGAUAUCAGGAAGAACACCCGUGGCGAAGGCGGCUCUCUGGAACGCAACUGACGCUGAGACGCGAAAGCGUGGGGAGCAAACAGG
rnacentral:rRNA from 1 species